GCGCAAGGUAGAGGCUAAGAACCCCGCCCUACGGAAGAUACGGGCACCCGAGAGGGCCUGGGGGAGCCAGUGGUGCGACCGGCUACCUUCUAU
rnacentral:ncRNA from 1 species